AUUUCAGAAUGCUGUUUUAUUGACUUAUCCUGGCAUGAAUGUGUGACACAGGAUGGUCCACCACAAGUCUGGCAUUCCUACAACCACUAAGCGUAAUUUAUUGGAUAACCGAUGACAGCGGUUUUGUUUGUUUGUUUUGUUGCAAUCUUGGAGUAUUGUUAUUAAUCCUUCCAUAUCACCAGAGCUCAAAAUAUUAGGCCAUAGGCAUAUAUUUCAGGUUAUACGGGUAAGGGAACAUACCGUGGAUCCACAGAGUUUAGUGGUGAUGGUGUAGCUGAGAAAAAUUCUUGCAAGUUGUUUUCACCG